ensembl:lncRNA
UUUUUUUUAAUGCCAGUACCAUGAGGUUUUGGUUACUGUAACUUUGUAGUAUAAUUUGAAGUCACAUGAUGUGAUCUUUCCAGUUUUGUUCUUUUUGCUUAGGUUGGCAAUUCUAGGUCUUUUUUUUUUUUUUUUUGGAGACUGUCUCUCUCUGUUGCCCAGGCAGAGUGCAGUGGCACAUUCUCAACUCACUGCAACCUCCACCUCCCAGGUUCAAGCUAUUCUUGUGCCUCAGCCUCCCAAGUAACUGGGCUUACAGGUGUGUGCCCCCAUGCCCAGCUAACUUUUGUAUUUUUAGUAGAGAUGGGGUUUCACUAUGUUGGCCAGGCCAGUCUUGAACUCCUGACCUCAAGUGAUCUGCCUACCUCAGCUUCCCAAAAUGCUGGGAUUACAGGCGUGAGCCACCAUGCCCAGCUUCUAGGUCCUUUUGUGGGCUAUUCUUUUGGCUAUUCUGGGUCUUUGUGAUUCUAUAUAAAUUUUGGGAUUAUUUUUCUAUUUCUAUGAAGAAUGUCAUUGUUACUUUGAUAGGGAUUGCACUGAAUCUGCAGAUUGCUUUGGGUAGCAUGGACGUUUUAACAGUAAUUGAGUCUUCCAAUCCGUAAACAAUGGAUAUCUUUCUGUUUUUCUGUGUUCUCUUUGAUUUCUGUCUUCAAUGUUUUAGUUUUCAUUGUAGAGAUCUUUCACUUCUUAAUUCCUAGGUAUUUUAUUUUACUUGUAGCUAUUGUAAAUGGGAUUACUUUCUUGAUUUCUUUUUCAUGUUGUUCCCUGUUGGCAUACAGAAUUGAUACUGAUUUUUUUUUAUGUUGAUUUUGUACCCUGCAACUUUAAUGAAUUUAUCAGUUUGAAUAGUUUUUUCAUGGAGUCUUUAGGUUUUUCUAAAUGUAACAUUGUAUCAUCAGCAAACAAGAAUAAUUUGGUCUUCUUUCUUCCUAAUUUGAAUGCCCUUUCUGUCUCUUGUCUGAUUGGCUUAGGUAGGACUUCUACCAUGUCAUCAGUGAAGGAGACUCUACCCCUUCUAAGAACACUUGGAUUAUAUGGAGGGGGAAACCGGCCUUGAAGAAAAUUCAUGAAAUAUUAAGACAGAGACCCUUCAGUAUUCUCUAACAGCCUAGACUGACUUAACACAAAUGAGGAGAGGAGCCUUCAGGGAAGGGAGAUCCUCGUGACCUUUUCAGAUAGAUAGGAUGAGGCUUCCCUGUUGCUGAAGGAAACCUGAACUCAGGAAAAUGAAUCUCACCCAUAAACAUGGUACAGGAGUCCUCUACUGCAGCGUGCCCUUCCUUUUUGCCCUGACAUACCUGUGGGCUGAGAAUGGGUAAUGGCAUGGCACUGCUUUGAUCCCCUAAGCUUCCUGCAGGCCAGGGUAGGGACUAGAGUGACCAGAGCUCAUGGCUGGUCUUCUUUGGCUGCAAUAAGCAUUUUCCACUUGCCCAAAUUCAUUGUACAAAUAAUAGUACUUUAUUUGCAUGGUGAGCAAAGUUAGAGAGCACUGUUUUAUAGAACCUGGGGUUCCCCUUCCUGUCCAGCCCUCAGUGGUGGUGACUGAUGCUUAAGACAAGGCUUAAGUCUCUAUGCAUUUCCCUGUGAGAUUCUGAUAUGGUCUCUCUGAUUGUUUUUAUAGUAAACAGCAGGCAUACUUUAAGGAGGAAAAAAGAGCUAGUCAAAAGAUUUUCUGCCCAGGUUAAAGUCAGUGAAAAUUUAGACUGAUUAUAGAAAUCAGUGAAGCCUUCAAGUUAUCUCUGGUGAAGACCAGUCCUCUGAAGUUAAAAUGUUAAGUUUAGCAUUUAGUAAAUAUCUGGACAGGUUUACUUGUCACUUGAGAAUAUUGUAGGCCUUCUCAAAAAAAGAACAGAAGGGAGUCUCUAAACUUUCAUUUCAUGGUUCAACAGUUACUUGACGAUGCAUCGAAAUCCCUCAAUCUCAAGUAACCAGUGCCAAAAACAUCUUCAAAGUGUCUCAGAAGAACUUUCAGAAGGAAAUAAUGGAUCGUUUGGAUGAAAACACUCAUUUUUAGGAAAAUCUAAAAGCGCUAUCCCAAGAAGCUGUGAAAUGGAAUACAAAGUGUGAGAAACGAAGGAAAAAAAUGCUUGACAACUUGAAAACAUAAAGAAGUUGUAAAUGAUAGAGAGAGCCCUUUAAAAUUGAAGGUGAUACACUUGCCUGUCUUCUUUAGCAAAAAUUACAUGGGUGAUGGCAACUUGAAAUCAGACAAAGACAAAUCAGAAAAUUGAGAACUUCUAGGCUGUAAAUCAAAAAACAAUUUGAAGAAAUACACUGAUGCUGUUAAGUGUUUCCUUAAAAAGGCUUGAAGAAGAAAAACAAGGACUAUUAAAAAGAAAAUCAAAUGAAUCACUUACAGUUCAAAGAAAUGGUCUCUCAUCUGAAUAAGCAUCUUUGUAGUCUGAAAAUGUAGCUCAUAUGAAAACAUCAGCUGUGUAACAUCAGAAGCAUGACGCCCACAGGAAGAUGGCCUCGAGAAAGUCUUGGAAAGAAGCACUUUCUACUAUCAAAACUUGAUCAUUUCCCAAGAGAAAAAAUGUUCAAGAAAGUUGGAUGGCAGCUUGGCACACUAACAGAAAGCUCACUGAGCUAAGAAAAGAAAAUGAUCACAACAGAUAAAGUUGACUAAAGCAGUUUAAAUUUCAGGUUUUCCCAAGUGGUUCCUGCUGUUCCAUGUGCAGGCGAUCCCAUGCAUCAUGUCUGCAAGGAAGGGAGAGGUUAAAACUGUAAGGGCUUACACAUUUGGGUCAGUAGGUUUGAUUCAGGUUUACAGCAACCAACUCCUAACUAUAUACUGGAGGACACAUGACCGUGUUUUCUUUACUUAAUAAUUUAAUCUCUUUUUAUUGUUUUUUCUUAGUUGAUGCUACAUUUACUUAAAUUCAAGUUCGAAAGAAUUACAAUUCCUAAGAUGGUGUUUUACAAAUCUAGAUGGUUUUAAUACAAUUCUUGACUAUUAGACCAUUCCAUGAGACUCUCAGAAUCAGGUCCAUUUAAGUACUGUAUUUAGGCUGAAUUAAAUAGUUCACUAUUACGUAAACCAUAAUUGAAUUUUGUAUGAUCAUGGAGAUAAAUAAAUCAAUAAAGGUCAUUUAUAUAUGCUACGAACUGUUACAAGAAAUGUGAGUAACAGUAUUUACCUCAAUAAAUUUAGGUUUAAUAGAGAGAAUUCCACCCAAACCCAACAAAAAAAGAAUAAUACCCUCCAACUAAAUCUAUUAGUAUUUUUAUUAGUUUAGCACUACAUUCAUAGAUUUAGGGGAGGUAACACUUUGUUCAUGAUAUUAUUUGCUGUUUAAAUAUUUCUAAAUUUUAUGCAGUCAAAAAUAAAGCUUUCCCUUAAAAUACCUUCUUUAUCCUACUCAAUCUCAACAGGUUGUCUCAUCUCUAGCAUUACUAGAUACCUGAUUAUGCCAAAUAUCAGGUCUUCACACCACUUUUCUGGCCCACCUAAUAUCCUGACGGGUCUCCCUGUCUUUGGUAAAGUCAAUGAUGGCAGCUACUAUUUAAGUAUUUACUAUGUGGUAGGCAAUAGGCUAAGUACUUUAGGUAAAUUAUCUCAUCUAACCUCAUAGCAAUCCUGCAAGGUAAUUGUCCCCAUCUUAUGUUUGACUAUUACUACCUUUGCUCAAAAGCUUCAUACUUUCAGAAUAUUUUUCAGUCCUCUAUCAGCUAGCUCAACCUAUUUUUCUAAUCAUUCCCUAUAGGUCCUCUUAACCUACAGCAUUUCAUUCAAAUUCAACUGCUGUGUUCCCUACAUGCUCUUUGUGCUUUUCUUAGACUCAGGCUUUGUGGGCCCAGUUGUAAACGUACUUGCAGUCAUAGCACAAAUGCCACCUCUUACAUGAAACCUUCUCUGGAAACUCCCUGCUAAGUUCUUACAAUAAGUUCUUUAUUCCUCUAACUUAUUAUUUUAUUAUUUUUUGUAUUGAGGACAGGAUGGAAUCCUACUCAUCUGUAUUGUUCCUGCAACAUCUUCUACAUUAUAUAGUUCUCAAUAAGUGUGUAGAAUACAUUUACAACUUUGGUAGAUGCCUUGAAUUUGUUCAAUAAUUACUUUAAGAAUGUUUUACAUACAUCAUUCUUAAAGUAAUUAAGAUGAUUACAUACAUCAUUUGAUUCUGUAAUACUGCUUCAUACAUUUUUAACUAUGUUUCUCACAUUCACAUUUUCACUCCAAGUUAUAAGAAUGUUCUAAACUAUGCCAUACCCUUCAACUUUUCUAAGCAUCAAACACCAUGCUGUGAAUAGUAAAUGCUUGCAGAAUAAAUGUUUAAGAAUAACUGGGGCAGAUGAUAGCAUUAUAGUAACAACAAGCCAAUAAGCUCAGUUGAUGGCAAAACUACUUCUGGAAUGACUUCAAGUAAACUAUCAUUUCUAAGUUUUAGUAAUUUUGGCUAACUAAAAUCCCUAUCAAAUUUCUUAGAUCUCUUUCAGAAUAUGCCAAUUUCUCAAGCUUUUAAUGUUAAAAAAUUCUAAAUUUAAGUUGACCUACUGGAUCAAGCAAACAUUUCCACUGAUUUUAGUGUACAUAUUCUAGCUAUCACUACUUUAAUCAUAAAACUAUUUCAACUAAUUAAAUACACCAAUAAAAUUGGAGACUUGGGAUGUGAGCAGGACUUCAGCUAUUUAAUAUUACACGUGUGUGUAUGUAUGUGUAUAUAUAUGUGUAUAUAAAUGCAUAUAAAACUAAUCACAAAGGAAAAAACUUUUUGUGGGGGCAGGAAAAACCAUAGGAAAUGAGAGGAAAGGGAAGCGCUAAUACACCAGAAGGAGGCAGGCUAUUUCAGCAUCUUUUAACUUAGUAUUGUAGGUGAUACAGAACACAGAUAUCUAAAUGGCUUAAUUCUAUACUAAGUAUAAAAACACGCCCCUCCAGUACCACAAAUCUUUUCAGGUGACACUGUUGUGACAUUUCUUCCUUUUCAUGUAUGCCUUUAUAGAUGCCCUUUACAGAACUCUUAAUAACAC